rnacentral:rRNA from 1 species
ACGAACGCUGGCGGCAGGCCUAACACAUGCAAGUCGAGCGGACCCUUCGGGGUUAGCGGCGGACGGGUGAGUAACGCGUGGGAAUAUGCCCUUCUCUACGGAAUAGUCCUGGGUAACUGGGGGUAAUACCGUAUACGCCCUUUGGGGGAAAGAUUUAUCGGGGAAGGAUUAGCCCGCGUUGGAUUAGGUAGUUGGUGGGGUAAUGGCCUACCAAGCCGACGAUCCAUAGCUGGUUUGAGAGGAUGAUCAGCCACACUGGGACUGAGACACGGCCCAGACUCCUACGGGAGGCAGCAGUGGGGAAUCUUAGACAAUGGGGGCAACCCUGAUCUAGCCAUGCCGCGUGAGUGAUGAAGGCCUUAGGGUUGUAAAGCUCUUUCAGCUGGGAAGAUAAUGACGGUACCAGCAGAAGAAGCCCCGGCUAACUCCGUG